GGGACGCCAUAGAGGGUGAGAGCCCCGUAUGGUUGGAUACCAAGCCUGUGUGAAACUCCUUCGACGAGUCGAGUAGUUUGGGAAUGCUGCUCAAAAUGGGAGGUAAAUCUCUUCUAAAGCUAAAUAUUGGCCAGAGACCGAUAGCGCACAAGUAGAGUGAUCGAAAGAUGAAAAGCACCUUGAAAAGGGGGUUAAACAGUACGUGAAAUUGUUGAAAGGGAAGCGCUCAUGACCAGACUUGUGCUGGGCAGCUCAUCCGGGGUUCUCCCCGGUGCAUUCUGCCCAGUUCAGGCCAGCAUCGAUUUUUGCUGGGGGAUAAGAACGGUAGGAACGUGGCCCUCCUUCGGGAGGGUGUUAUAGCCUACCGUACGAUACCCUAGCGGAGAUCGAGGUUCGCGCAUCUGCAAGGAUGCUGGCGUAAUGGUCAUCAGCGACCCGUCUUGAAACACGGACCAAGGAGUCGUCCAUUAGAGCGAGCGUUUGGGUGUAAAACCCGCACGCGUAAUGAAAGUGAAAUUAGGUGAGAGCUUCGGCGCAUCAUCGACCGAUCCUGAUGUUCUCGGAUGGAUUUGAGUAAGAGUUUUAACGGACGGACCCGAAAGACAGUGAACUAUGCUUGUAUAGGGUGAAGCCAGAGGAAACUCUGGUGGAGGCUCGCACGGUUCUGACGUGCAAAUCGAUCGUCAAAUAUGAGCAUGGGGGCGAAAGACUAAUCGAACUGUCUAGUAGCUGGUUACCGCCGAAGUUUCCCUCAGGAUAGCAGUGUUGACCUUCAGUUUUAUGAGGUAAAGCGAAUGAUUAGGGACUCGGGGGCGCUUUUUAGCCUUCAUCCAUUCUCAAACUUUAAAUAUGUAAGAAGCCCUUGUUACUUAGUUGAACGUGGGCAUUCGAAUGUAUCAACACUAGUGGGCCAUUUUUGGUAAGCAGAACUGGCGAUGCGGGAUGAACCGAACGCGGGGUUAAGGCGCCAGAGUGUACGCUCAUCAGACACCACAAAAGGCGUUAGUACA
rnacentral:rRNA from 1 species